rnacentral:lncRNA from 8 species
AUGGUGGAGGUGAUCAGCAAGAGGCCAGGCCCCUCCCUCUCCCAGCAGAGCCACACCCUCCUUCUACGUAGGCACGUCCCCUGUCCCUCCCCCUGCCUCGUUACCACGGUGAACGACCACCGCUCCCACAUGAUCCCGCUGCCUCUUCCUCCUCCUCAUCUUCCUCUCACGCAAACCACACCUCUCUUCUCCUCCUUUGGCUAUCCUCCACUCGUCCUCUCUCCUCCUCCUCCUCACCUCUCCACUCUCCCCCUGGGCCUCUCCACUCCUCCUCGUCCUCCUCCUCUUCCUCCUCUCUCCUCUCCUCCUCUCUCUACAAGUCUGGAGCAGCCAAGCCUGCCAGGUUCUCGGGGCUCUGAGUCCAGUCCCCACGGGUCUCCCACACUCGGCCAGCAGGGCGGCGCCAGCGAGGAUGUCUGGGUUCUCCGGAAGCCCCUCGCAGGUACGAGGGUGUGUUGUUGUGUUGGUGUAUUGGUGUGAGUGUGCUUGUGUACUGUUGUAUGUAUUAUUAAUUAAUAUAGUUAAUAAU